ACACACGUCAUCGGUUCGAGGGGCGCAUUUGGUGGCCCCAUCGCGCUCUGAUCAAUGGUGACCUAAGGUUCUGUCCAUCUUCUCCUCUCUUUCGUCGAUGGCUGCUCAUAGGGGGACGGCGACCUGAAUACGUAAACCAUCUAUGCAUGGGCCGGUGUAUUAAGAAAGUUUAUCAACAAUCACACACCAAUGCUUUUGCACUAUAUGAAUUUCCCUUUAUGACUGUUUUUGUGGGAGCCUUGUAGAUGUACUUCUGUAGUUCCUAACAUGGUUGUAGGUUAAAUGUUUCUGCUGGUUUAUUUUUCUGUGGAAUCUGCCCCUAUUCACAUGUUACUACCAUCUUCAUAUGUAGUUGUGGAAAUAAAAUCAGAGAAUGAUCUCGCUCCUUUACUCCUUAUUUCUUAUUUGAAAUGCAUUUCUUCAUGUGAACACCAGGGUUUGUUGAGUGGCAACACGUGGUGAGAUGGACAACAACUCAGCUUGGCAUCAGGCAAAGGAGAAUAAUGCACAUAGUUAGCACAAACCUGAAAGCAUUUAUGCAGCUCCCAGAUGUUGCAGGCAAGAGGAAGGGGUUAACAAAAUCAUGCUGGUAGCCGAAGCGUGCCUCUUUGGGCUUCCAUAACAGAUGAGGCAGAGUAAUAAGCAAUAAAGAGAAGCCCAAGAGAAGCCCACCGAUGGAUCUCUCUUAUCCCUUCCUCUUCCUGGCAGCAGAACAGACGAUGCCACCCACGCACCAUCGAUGCCCUGCAGCCGACUGCUUCGGCGUUCUUCCACGCGAGCGAGCAGAGGCACCCCAUGGCGCCUCCUCCUCUCCUUCUCUUGGCGCGCGAAGACCUCGACGGAGCCACCUCCAUCGCGUCAUCGAUCUGGCCGCCGCCUCACCUGCGGCUCGAUCUUAUCUGGGAGAGAUGGUGAGGGGUGGGGGUGGCGGAGUAAGGGGAGCCGGAGAGGAAGAUCCGGUGCAGGACUCCCACGCUGCAGACUUGAGGCACCCAACCACGGCCACGUCGAUGACUCUGCCUCCUGAAGGACGACAUCCACCACCUCCCUCCCUGCCGCCCAGAAGUGACGAGGUUGCCGCCUCUCGGCAACUUUCUGUGCUCUCGCAGAAAUUCCCCUUCAGAUAGUGGAGCGCCGUCGCUCCCAUAGUCUUCAGCAUCAGAUUCAUUGGAUUAUUCUAUUUUUUGGUCAAUUUGAUUGUGGGAAUGACCCAAAAUUUGUCAAAGGAGCAAUGGAGUGGGUGCUCAAAUCUUCAUCUUUCGGCUGCUUUAAAAUGAUUCGGCAUCUGCAAGUAAUGUUCCCUUCUUAUGUGAGUAAGGUGGGGCAAAAUCUUCAUGAAAUACUGUAGAGAACUAGGACAUUACCAAUCUAGGUGCCAUCAGCUUUGUGACCAUGUUUAUUUCUCUGACUUAAAAUUUUGUUGCCUUUUACUUGUGGUCUGGCAAGGGAUUUUUUAUGUACCAUCUCAUGGUGGUAUUUUUUUCUUCUAACUGUAUAAUUCAUCUAUGCUGAGAAUACAUGCACAAAUAAAGUGGGUUGUGUUCUUGCCCCGUUCUGCUACUUGAUGCAUCUGUCUAUUUUCCUCCCAUGUCAUAAUUGUCGUGCGAUCAAUCUUUUUGUUUGGAAUACUAAUAUAUCUAUUG